rnacentral:rRNA from 1 species
ACUUUCCUACGGGGCGCAGCAGUCGAGAAUCAUUCACAAUGGGGGAAACCCUGAUGGUGCGACGCCGCGUGGGGGAAUGAAGGUCUUCGGAUUGUAAACCCCUGUCAUGUGGGAGAAAAUUAAAAAGAUAGUACCACAAGAGGAAGAGACGGCUAACUCUGUGCCAGCAGCCGCGGUAAUAGAGAGGUCUCAAGCGUUGUUCGGAGUCACUGGGGGUAAAGCGUGCGUAGGCUGUUGCGUAAGUCGUGUGUGAAAUGCGCGGGCUCAACCCGCGGACGGCACAUGAUACUG